rnacentral:rRNA from 1 species
UACGAAGGGGGCUAGCGUUGCUCGGAAUCACUGGGCGUAAAGGGUGCGUAGGCGGGUUUUUAAGUCAGAGGUGAAAUCCUGGAGCUCAACUCCAGAACUGCCUUUGAUACUGAAAGUCUUGAGUAUGGGAGAGGUGAGUGGAACUGCGAGUAUAGAGGUGAAAUUCGUAGAUAUUCGCAAGAACACCAGUGGCGAAGGCGGCUCACUGGCCCAUAACUGACGCUGAGGCACGAAAGCGUGGGGAGCAAACAGG